AUGACCUUGAACCUGUCGAGAGUCAGCAACUUGAAGGUCACCAUGUACCCAAACCUUGAUCUGAUGGACGGCAGUGAAGGUGGCCUAACCCUUAUCGACGGUGACCCUCUCCCACAACUCCAAGAAUACACGGAGGAGGUGGCCCGGGUCGGCAUCGGCACCGUCCGGCGUGGGCCACGGGCCCGCUUCCAAGUGCGUCUACGCGUCGGCCACCCACGCCGGGUCAACUGCCGCUUCCACCACACCAACUCCCAGGGCCACGGCCAGGGCCAGGGAAGCCGCCCUUCUUCGCCCCCUUCACCGGCUGCGGCCAACGCGGUGCCGCGGCACCCGGCCUCGCCGUCCUCAUCCUCCGGCACCGUCGCGACCUAG
rnacentral:rRNA from 1 species